rnacentral:rRNA from 1 species
AACGAACGCUGGCGGCAGGCUUAACACAUGCAAGUCGAACGCAUCCUUCGGGGUGAGUGGCAGACGGGUGAGGAACACGUGGGAACAUCCCUUUCAGUUCGGAAUAACGUUGGGAAACUAACGCUAAUACCGGAUACGUCCUUCGGGAGAAAGAUUUAUCGCUGAAAGAUUGGCCCGCGUCUGAUUAGCUAGUUGGUGAGGUAAUGGCUCACCAAGGCUACGAUCAGUAGCUGAUCUGAGAGGAUGAUCAGCCACAUUGGGACUGAGACACGGCCCAAACUCCUACGGGAGGCAGCAGUGGGGAAUAUUGGACAAUGGGCGCAAGCCUGAUCCAGCCAUGCCGCGUGAGUGAUGACGGCCUUCGGGUUGUAAAGCUCUUUUGUCCGGGAAGAUAAUGACUGUACCGGAAGAAUAAGCCCCGGCAAACUUCGUGCCAGCCGCCGCAGUAA